UUUUUUUUUUCUUUGGGUUUUUUCACGGUAGCUGUAGAGCAAUGUUUUAGUAGCCUUGGAUUUCUUUUUAAAAAAAUUGAGAACCCUAAUCUUUUUUUUCUACUGAGAAAUAAGGCAUUGUUUGACAACACUCAACGUCUAGUUUCACCCUAGAGUAGAAUGAGAAAGCAUUGAGCAAUUUAGUUUUGAGACAAAGUGCACGUAGAAUGAAACCUUAGCUGACUAACAUCAAGUGCAAAACGAACUAGGAACAAACAUCCUAGAAAUAAGAUUUGCCUGAAGUCCUGCACAGAAAACCGCUUCAGUAAGUCCUAGCACGCAACAAAGAUGGCAUGUUAAGAGAAGCCAAGAUGCCAUCAGAGGUAAUGCACGAGACCAUAUCCAAGAGCUAACAUAGAGCUAACAUGAUUACAGUUCCAACAUGCUCCCUCCGUUCAAAAUCACUUGUCGUGGUGGUUUUAGUUCAAAUUUGAAACAAGUAAUUUGGAACAGAGGGAGUACAUCAUAAUUCCAAUAGAUUCUCAAGUUCAGCGCUAACUCAACAAUCAUUUAUUUCCACGUAGUAAUACACAUAUCCUAGAGAGCACAUUUAUUCAAGUUCAAAAUUGAAUGGACAACUCACUCGUACUCAAAGAGCCUACAAGACUAGAAUUACAUCACCAACCGAUAGUACAUCACAGAACUACAGCGAAACACAAAUCGCCAUACUGGAGAAACCAGAACACCACAGAACAACAACUCUAGAUCGCCAGUGUUCUUGCCAACGGCAGCCCCCACCCACCACCAGCAUUCAUCUCAAAUCUUCUGGAAGCGGAACUAACACAUCCAACUACACUCAUCAACCAUUCGGAGGCGUCCGAAAACAAGUUUUGCCUCGAAUAACAGAGAAGACCGCAAAAAAGUUUUACAAAAUAAUGGUUGACUCAGAUCAGCUAUGGUCGGUUACAGCCGAAUAGUAUCCUUCUAUAUAUGUACUUCAAGAGAAACCGAUAUCAUGCACAUUCUGAAUUGGAUGCGUUGGUAUCAUCUGAUC
rnacentral:lncRNA from 1 species